rnacentral:rRNA from 1 species
GAUUAUGGCUCAGGACGAACGCUGGCGGCGUGCUUAACACAUGCAAGUCGAGCGAUGAAGCUUCUUCGGAAGUGGAUUAGCGGCGGACGGGUGAGUAACACGUGGGUAACCUGCCUCAUAGAGGGGAAUAGCCUUCCGAAAGGAAGAUUAAUACCGCAUAAGAUUGUAAUAUCGCAUGAUAUAGCAAUUAAAGGAGUAAUCCGCUAUGAGAUGGACCCGCGUCGCAUUAGCUAGUUGGUGAGGUAACGGCUCACCAAGGCGACGAUGCGUAGCCGACCUGAGAGGGUGAUCGGCCACAUUGGGACUGAGACACGGCCCAGACUCCUACGGGAGGCAGCAGUGGGGAAUAUUGCACAAUGGGGGAAACCCUGAUGCAGCCAACGCCGCGUGAGUGAUGACGGUCUUCGGAUUGUAAAGCUCUGUCUUCAGGGACGAUAAUGACGGUACCUGAGGAGGAAGCCACGGCUAACUACGUGCCAGCAGCGGC